ACAGCAGCCGCCGCGGUAAUACAGAGGGUGCAAGCGUUAAUCGGAAUUACUGGGCGUAAAGUGCGCGUAGGUGGUUUGUUAAGUUGGAUGUGAAAUCCCCGGGCUCAACCUGGGAACUGCAUCCAAAACUGGCAAGCUAGAGUAUGGUAGAGGGUGGUGGAAUUUCCUGUGUAGCGGUGAAAUGCGUAGAUAUAGGAAGGAACACCAGUGGCGAAGGCGACCACCUGGACUGAUACUGACACUGAGGUGCGAAAGCGUGGGGAGCAAACAGGAUUAGAUACCCGUGUAGUCCCUGUCUCUUAUAC
rnacentral:rRNA from 1 species